GGGCCCGCACAAGCGGUGGAGUAUGUGGUUUAAUUCGAUGCAACGCGAAGAACCUUACCAGGGUUUGACAUCCUGCGAAUCUCUUGGAAACAGGAGAGUGCCUUCGGGAACGCAGUGACAGGUGGUGCAUGGCUGUCGUCAGCUCGUGUCGUGAGAUGUUGGGUUAAGUCCCGCAACGAGCGCAACCCACGUCUUUAGUUGCCAGCAUUUAGUUGGGCACUCUAGAGAGACUGCCGGUGAUAAACCGGAGGAAGGUGUGGAUGACGUCAAGUCAUCAUGCCCUUACAUCCUGGGCUACACACGUACUACAAUGCUACGGACAGAGGCAGCAGUCGCGAGACAAG
rnacentral:rRNA from 1 species